rnacentral:rRNA from 1 species
GGAAUUUUGCGCAAUGGGCGGAAGCCUGACGCAGCAACGCCGCGUGGAGGAAGAAGGCCCUCGGGUCGUAAACUCCUGUCCAUGGGGAAGAUGGUGACGGUACCCUUGGAGGAAGCCACGGCUAACUACGUGCCAGCAGCCGCGGUAAUACGUAGGUGGCAAGCGUUGUCCGGAAUUAUUGGGCGUAAAGCGCGCGCAGGCGGUCUCUUAAGUCUGAUGUGAAAGCCCACGGCUCAACCGUGGAGGGUCAUUGGAAACUGGAGAACUUGAGUACAGAAGAGGAAAGCGGAAUUCCACGUGUAGCGGUGAAAUGCGUAGAGAUGUGGAGGAACACCAGUGGCGAAGGCGGCUUUCUGGUCUGUAACUGACGCUGAGGCGCGAAAGCGUGGGGAGCAAAC